AAGGAGAUCUGUGACCCUGACUGACCCUGAUCCUGACUCUCCUUUCUCUGCUUUCCUUGUUCUGCAAUAUCCUCCAAUGUACCCUGUCGUGAUGUCUACAUGCCUGCACACAAGGCCAAAGAAAACUUUCUGCCAUGUAUGCUAGUUUGCUCUGGCAUUUUAUCACAGCCACAGAAAGCAAACGCAGUGAUGCUAGCCAGUUAGUCAACAGGCCCGCUAAAAAUGGUUUCUGGCGCUUGGGGAAGGCUAGAGAAGAAGAGAGAGAUAAGAUAUCCAUAAAUAGGAGAGUUAGCACCCACUGCAAGGCAGACUAGAGCUGCCUGGUGGUAAAGGCUCAGCUGGUGGUAAAAGCAACAAGGACACCAGAAGCUCGGAGGAAGAGAAAUCAGUGCCCACCAGAAAGGGACAGAGAAGUUUCACAGCAAAGACCCCCCACAGCCGAGGAUCGCUGUCCAGUGAGAAAUGGCUUUGUACUUCAGUCCAGCGUACGUUCCCUGAUAAAGAGAACAAGAAAAGGCCCACAAAACAGCAGCAUGCAUUCUCCUCUGUGCUAGUUCUUCCCGUAAAAGAAUUAAUAAAUAACACGUUGGGAUUAGUUUUACAGCCCACAGGCAGACCGAGAUCCAAAGUUUAAAGAACUGUUCUUUGGUAACGUCUGAGUUGCAGUCUAUCUGAAGGCAGUGGAGCGGUCUGGUUUAUGAAUUCAGGAAGGAGACAGCCUCAUCAGAAGACGCUAAUCCAAGCUGGGCGUCAUGACUCACAUCUGCAAUCCUAGCACUAAAGUGCUGGACACGGGACGGGUUGAAUUCCACCUACUGCAAGACAACCCUCAUUUCAGAGCUGAUUCCUGGACCACCCAAAUGCAUCUGGUUCUCUUCUUUGCAAUAGGGAGUCAAGAGGCUGCGGAAUCCUCCUCUGGGGCCAGGCGUGUAUCACACAGGUGUCCCUUUGAGGAAGCCCAGAGAGGCCACAGCAUGAAGCUGUGGACGUGACGCCUGGAGGGUGUUGGAGACCCCAGGACAUUAGAGGUGCCAGAGCCAUGACAAGGAGAGCUCGCACAGGGAGUGGGGUCAGCCCAAGAAAGAGGAUGCUGUGGUCAGCAAUGCUGGAAGAACAGAGCCCUAAACUCUUUGACAGCAGACACGGGGUUACAGGAUUUGGGAUUUGCCCUACUAGGUUUUGAUCUUGAUUUGCUACAGUAUGUCUUCAUUAUGCCCCCUUUCCUCCCGUUUGGAACAGUGAUGUUUAUUCUUUGCCACUGUAUGUUGGAAGUGUGUAGUUUGCUUGUUUUUUUUUUUAUUUUACAGGGGGUUACAAUUAAGAGAUUGACUUGCAUCUCAACAGAGACUUUGGACCUUGCGACCGUAUUGAGACUGAAAGACUAUGGGAAGUUUUGACGGCAGACUAAAUGCACUUUGUGUUACGAUACGUCUACAGGUCUAUGAUGUUCAGGGAGUGGAAUGCGGCAUUCGAAUGAGAACGGCCCCCAUAGUCUCAUAGAUUUGGGUGCUUUGGUCCCCAUUUAUUGAAAGUCUUUGGAAAGGAAAAAGGAGGUGCAGCCUUAUUGGAAGGGUGUGUCACUGGGGACAGGUUUUGAGGUUUCAAAAACCCAUGCCGCUCCCAGUUGGAACCCCACCACCGCUGCCUCCUUGAGCUCACAGAUCAGGAUGUGAGCUCUCAGCCACUGUCCCAGCACUGUGCCUGCCUGCCUGACACCAUCCUUUUUGCCGUGAUGUUCAUGGGUUCACCCUCUGGAAGUAUAAGCCCCAAUAAACUCUUUCUUCUGUAAGCUGCCUUGGUCAUGGUGUCUUAGCACAGCAAUAGGAAAGCAGCGGAGACAAAUGGUGUUUCAGGAUCCAAGGCUAGAUGCUUAUUCCUCAGGGGGAAAAAAAAGCCAGUCAGUCGUGGGGCUGAAGAAAGGUUGACUUAAGUAGUCAAAGGAUGGAGAAGGGAGAGC